rnacentral:rRNA from 1 species
GAAGAAAGAGGGAGGAGUGAUUAACACAUGCAAGUCGAACGGAAAGGCCCUGCUUUUGUGGGGUGCUCGAGUGGCGAACGGGUGAGUAACACGUGAGUAACCUGCCCUUGACUUUGGGAUAACUUCAGGAAACUGGGGCUAAUACCGGAUAGGAGCUCCUGCUGCAUGGUGGGGGUUGGAAAGUUUCGGCGGUUGGGGAUGGACUCGCGGCUUAUCAGCUUGUUGGUGGGGUAGUGGCUUACCAAGGCUUUGACGGGUAGCCGGCCUGAGAGGGUGACCGGCCACAUUGGGACUGAGAUACGGCCCAGACUCCGACGGGAGGCAGCAGUGGGGAAUAUUGCACAAUGGGCGGAAGCCUGAUGCAGCAACGCCGCGUGCGGGAGGACGGCCUUCGGGUGGUAAACCGCUUUCGCCUGUGACGAAGCGUGAGUGACGGUAAUGGGGAAAGAAGCACCGGCUAACUACGU